rnacentral:misc_RNA from 1 species
UGGUUCUGGCAUCGAUGAAGAACGCAGCGAAAUGCGAUAAGUAAUGCGAAUUGCAGAAUCCGUGAGUCAUCGAAUCUUUGAACGCAUAUUGCGCCCCUUGGCAUUCCGAAGGGCAUGCCUGUUCGAGCGUCAUUAUCACCCCUCAAGCCUAAGCUUGGUGUUGGGUUUUGGCACGGUUUACCCUUGCCUAGCCUUAAAGAUAGUGACGGCGCCCCAGAGGGAACCGGUACGAGGAGCUUUUUACUAAGCAUGUACACGGUACGACUCUGUGGACGUCGGUCUGAUCACAAUUUUUUUUAUGUGUUGACCUCGGAUCAGGUAGGAAUACCCGCUGA